CUGAAUGAUCUCCAGGCUGACAUUGCAAAGGGAGGAGUUGCAAAUACCAGUGAGGAAGAGAAAUAAAAGUAAAGGUCUUGGGGAGAUUAGAAGCACGAGUAGGAAAGAAAACGUCGAAUCUUAGACAAAUGAAACUAAAAAAAGUGACCACAAAGUAAUCUCAAAUGCAGAAGAAGAAGAGGAGAGGGGAGACUGGGCCAGUGAAUAGAAGUCUUCAUCCCCAUCAACCUCAGCAUCUGCUCUAUGGACUCUAACUCCUCCAAUGGAAGGGAAGCCUCCAGGAGACGAGUUAGCGACGACACGGUCAUAUCAUACAAGCGGCAACACCCAGCGCAGAGAGGACUUGCGGGGAUCAAGCCAGCCAGCUACAGAGGGCAGCUCCAAAAACAUCCUAAUGGAAAGGUUAAUAAAAGAAAGAAAAUAUCAAAGUGGCGACUCUCCCUUAUAACAUGCACAUUGCAGUACUACACUACGUGAAAAGAAUUAACGGUAUCCACUCUACUGAAAGUUCUACAAUCCCGGGACGGCAGGAGGGUUCCGGGUUGAGGGAACUCUUCCAUCCAGCAUAGAGUUGUAGUAUCCAUUGCACACCAACCAUGCAUUAAUAGAUAAUAGGAGCAAUCCGACUCAUUAUGGAAGCACCUAGCUUUGCAAGAGAGGGAGCAGACAGGCUAAUUCAAGAUCUUGUUGUACAGCAGUGGGAGAGCAGUUGUUUGAUCUUUCAAUGCCCUGUAUUGUGUGUGGUCAUUUCCACCUGCGUGAAGUGGCUGUACAAGGCUGCUCGUCCUAGUAUUUGCUGUGGUUUGUUUUUGGAAAAGUUAGAGGAAUCUCACUUGGGUUGCAGCUCAAGACAGUGCUUAUUAUGUGUGAUCAUGACCAUUUAAUGUUUCCUGAGGAAUAUGGCUGCUGAAGAAAAUGCUUUGAUGCUUUCUGUCCAUGUUGGGUUUUGAUUGGCGAGUACAUGGUGCAACAGUCAAAGGAACCUAGUGGAUAUAGUGUACUUAGAUUUUCAGAAAUCUUU